rnacentral:rRNA from 1 species
CCCCUACGGGACGCAGCAGUAGGGAAUCUUCCACAAUGGACGAAAGUCUGAUGGAGCAACGCCGCGUGAGUGAAGAAGGGUUUCGGCUCGUAAAGCUCUGUUGGUAGUGAAGAAAGAUAGAGGUAGUAACUUGCCUUUUUUUGACGGUAAUUACUUAGAAAGUCACGGCUAACUACGUGCCAGCCGCCGCGGUAAUACGUAGGUGGCAAGCGUUGUCCGGAUUUAUUGGGCGUAAAGCGAGUGCAGGCGGUU